rnacentral:rRNA from 1 species
UACACAUGCAGUCGAACGGUGAAGCCAAGCUUGCUUGGUGGAUCAGUGGCGAACGGGUGAGUAACACGUGAGCAACCUGCCUUGGACUCUGGGAUAAGCGCUGGAAACGGCGUCUAAUACUGGAUAUGAGCUCUCAUCGCAUGGUGGGGGUUGGAAAGAUUUUUCGGUCUGGGAUGGGCUCGCGGCCUAUCAGCUUGUUGGUGAGGUAAUGGCUCACCAAGGCGUCGACGGGUAGCCGGCCUGAGAGGGUGACCGGCCACACUGGGACUGAGACACGGCCCAGACUCCUACGGGAGGCAGCAGUGGGGAAUAUUGCACAAUGGGCGGAAGCCUGAUGCAGCAACGCCGCGUGAGGGAUGACGGCCUUCGGGUUGUAAACCUCUUUUAGCAGGGAAGAAGCGAGAGUGACGGUACCUGCAGAAAAAGCGCCGGCUAACUACGUGCCAGCAGCCGCGGUAAUACGUAGGGCGCAAGCGUUAUCCGGAAUUAUUGGGCGUAAAGAGCUCGUAGGCGGUUUGUCGCGUCUGCUGUGAAAUCCCGAGGCUCAACCUCGGGCCUGCAGUGGGUACGGGCAGACUAGAGUGCGGUAGGGGAGAUUGGAAUUCCUGGUGUAGCGGUGGAAUGCGCAGAUAUCAGGAGGAACACCGAUGGCGAAGGCAGAUCUCUGGGCCGUAACUGACGCUGAGGAGCGAAAGGGUGGGGAGCAAACAGGCUUAGAUACCCUGGUAGUCCACCCCGUAAACGUUGGGAACUAGUUGUGGGGACCAUUCCACGGUUUCCGUGACGCAGCUAACGCAUUAAGUUCCCCGCCUGGGGAGUACGGCCGCAAGGCUAAAACUCAAAGGAAUUGACGGGGACCCGCACAAGCGGCGGAGCAUGCGGAUUAAUUCGAUGCAACGCGAAGAACCUUACCAAGGCUUGACAUACACCAGAACACCGUAGAAAUACGGGACUCUUUGGACACUGGUGAACAGGUGGUGCAUGGUUGUCGUCAGCUCGUGUCGUGAGAUGUUGGGUUAAGUCCCGCAACGAGCGCAACCCUCGUUCUAUGUUGCCAGCACGUAAUGGUGGGAACUCAUGGGAUACUGCCGGGGUCAACUCGGAGGAAGGUGGGGAUGACGUCAAAUCAUCAUGCCCCUUAUGUCUUGGGCUUCCGGCAUGCUACAUGGCCGGUACAAGGGCUGCAAUACCGGGAGUGGAACGAAUCCCAAAAACCGGUCCCUUUCGAUUGAGGCUGCACUCGACCCCUGAAAUCGGAAUCCCUAUAAUCCCAAUAACAACGCUCGGGGAA